CCUUACCCCUAUACCCCUCUCUAAAGGGAUGGUAAAAAAAUUCUGACUUCGAUCAAUGGCGAUGUUUGAUCGUUUUCUAUGCAUUCUCGAGAUUUUUUUUUUUCUAGCUUUUCAUCUGUUCAGAUUCCAAAUUUUUUACAAGAACUACUUAACAAGUUGAGACUGUAGCUUUUGGUGGCCGAGAUAGGCGUCAACUAUGAGUUCUAGGAAGAAAACUCUCCCUUUCCAGGGCGCUGUAGCCACGUUCUGGGCUGAUAAUUGUCGAGAAGAAGAGGAGUAUUUUGGAGGAUUGGUAAUCAUCUCUAGGUCCCUCUUCUUUUCCUCCUCGAGAUUGAAUCACGACAUACCCAAUACGGAAGUAACGGAACAAGCUUCAUAUCAUUAAUAGUUCAUAUCAAAGCAGCACCAUUUGAUUUCAUUCAUUUGUCAUUUUAUCUCUUAGGUCAUUUCUGUCUCAUAUCCUCUCACCUUUCUACAAACUCUUUGGAUACAUGCUGAAAUAUCGAUUGACAUUGUGUUCCUUUUUCUAUUGAUAGUAAUAAAAAAUUAAUUUCAAACUGUCA